UACGAAGGGGGCUAGCGUUGCUCGGAAUUACUGGGCGUAAAGGGCGCGUAGGCGGGUCGUUUAGUUAGAGGUGAAAGCCCAGGGCUCAACCCUGGAAUUGCCUUUAAUACUGGCGGCCUUGAGUAUGGCAGAGGUGUGUGGAACUCCGAGUGUAGAGGUGAAAUUCGUAGAUAUUCGGAAGAAACACCAGUGGCGAAGGCGACACACUGGGCCAUUACUGGACGCUGAGGCGCGAAAAGCGUGGGGAGCAAACAGG
rnacentral:rRNA from 1 species